rnacentral:rRNA from 1 species
AUUGAACGCUGGCGGAAUGCUUUACACAUGCAAGUCGAACGGUAGAGGGGGCAACCCCCUUGAGAGUGGCGAACGGGUGAGUAAUAUAUCGGAACGUGCCCAGUCGUGGGGAUAACGUAGCGAAAGUUACGCUAAUACCGCAUACGAUCUAAGGAUGAAAGCGGGGGACUCGCAAGAGCCUCGUGCGAUUGGAGCGGCCGAUAUCAGAUUAGGUAGUUGGUGGGGUAAAGGCUCACCAAGCCAACGAUCUGUAGCUGGUCUGAGAGGACGACCAGCCACACUGGAACUGAGACACGGUCCAGACUCCUACGGGAGGCAGCAGUGGGGAAUUUUGGACAAUGGACGCAAGUCUGAUCCAGCCAUUCGCGUGCAGGAUGAAGGCCCUCGGGUU